GAGGGGAUAGCUCAAGUGGUAGAGUACAUGCCUCGCAUGCACGAGGUCCUGGGUUCAAUUCCAGGUACCUCCU
rnacentral:tRNA from 1 species